rnacentral:rRNA from 1 species
GAUGAACGCUGGCGGCGUGCCUAAUACAUGCAAGUCGAGCGAACGGACGAGAAGCUUGCUUCUCUGAUGUUAGCGGCGGACGGGUGAGUAACACGUGGAUAACCUACCUAUAAGACUGGGAUAACUUCGGGAAACCGGAGCUAAUACCGGAUAAUAUUUUGAACCGCAUGGUUCAAAAGUGAAAGACGGUCUUGCUGUCACUUAUAGAUGGAUCCGCGCUGCAUUAGCUAGUUGGUAAGGUAACGGCUUACCAAGGCAACGAUGCAUAGCCGACCUGAGAGGGUGAUCGGCCACACUGGAACUGAGACAGGGUCCAGACUCCUAGGGGAGGCAGCAGAAGGGAAUGUUGCGAAAUGGGCGAAAGCCUGACGGAGCAAGCCCGCGUGGGUGAUAAGGGUCUUGGGAUCGUAAAACUCGGUUAUUGGGGAGGAACAUAUGUGUAAGGAACUGUGCACAUCUUGACGGUACCUAAUCAGAAAGCCACGGCUAACUACGUG